rnacentral:rRNA from 1 species
GACAGAGGGGGCAAGCGUUGCUCGGAAUUACUGGGCGUAAAGGGCUCGUAGGCGGCCAACUAAGUCAGACGUGAAAUCCCUCGGCUUAACCGGGGAACUGCGUCUGAUACUGGAUGGCUUGAGAUUGGGAGAGGGAUGCGGAAUUCCAGGUGUAGCGGUGAAAUUCGUAGAUAUCAAGCGGAACACCGGUGGCGAAGGCGGCCUUCUGGACAGUGACUGACGCUGAGAUGCGAAAGCGUGGGGAGCAAACAGG